rnacentral:rRNA from 1 species
AGGGAAUGCUUCCACAAUGGACGCAAGUCUGAUGGAGCAACGCCGCGUGAGUGAAGAAGGUUUUCGGACCGUAAAGCUCUGUUGUUGGUGAAGAAGGAUAGAGGUAGUAACUGGCCUUUUAUUUGACGGUAAUCAACCAGAAAGUCACGGCUAACUACGUGCCAGCAGCCGCGGUAAUACGUAGGUGGCAAGCGUUGUCCGGAUUUAUUGGGCGUAAAGCGAGCGCAGGCGGAAGAAUAAGUCUGAUGUGAAAGCCCUCGGCUUAACCGAGGAAUUGCAUCGGAAACUGUUUUCUUGAGUGCAGAAGAGGAGAGUAGAACUCCAUGUGUAGCGGUGGAAUGCGUAGACAUAUGGAAGAAUACCAGUGGCGAAGGCGGCUCUCUGGUCUGCAACUGACGCUGAGGCUCGAAAGCAUGGGUAGCGAACAGGAUUAGAUACCCUGGUAGUCCAUGCCGUAAACGAUGAGUGCUAAGUGUUGGGAGGCUUCCGCCUCUCAGUGCUGCAGCUAACGCAUUAAGCACUCCGCCUGGGGGAGUACGACCGCAAGGUUGAAAC